rnacentral:lncRNA from 1 species
UCAAGACAUCUUUUUUUAAUAACACCACACCCCUGAGCCCUACAUGCAGCGUGAGCAACUUCUGCUUUAUUUUCGUGUAUGUAUGGGAGUUUCAGCUAAUCUCUAGGAGGCGAUCCGCAGCCGCAGAUGAACUGCCAGAUGCUCCUCUUGACGUUGUUACGCUUGGACUUCCCCAUUCCUGCUCCAGAAAUCUCUGAGAUGCACACACUCUAAUGCUUCAAAAUGCCCCUGAAAAUAAAGUAGCCAUUUGAAAAUCUCCUAGAACCAAAUUAGCAAAGAUGAAAGAACUAUAUAUACAGCUAAUAAAUAGCAGAAACGAACCAGCAGAGAGUAUCCUACUUCAGGCCAGG